AGUGGGCGAUCCGAGGAUCCGGAAUCGAGCUGAAGGAACCGCUCGGGCCGGCAGAAACCACACCCGGCCCGCCACGCGUAUGGGGCUGCGCCUGGGCGCGUGGACUACAGAUCCCAGCAGCCCCGCGCGGCGCUCAGGAAGUGCAGGCGUGGUCGCAGACUGGGCAUAUAUAAGCCCGGUGCCGGGGCCCGUGCGUCCUUUCUCCUGUCCCUGGCGCUGGUGGUGUGUGGACGUGGAACCACGAGGCCGGUGCCCGUAGCCGCCUUAGCUCGCUUCUAUAGGCCCGCACUCGUCCGGGCUACCUCUAGAGACUGCGGGAUGUAGAGUGCCGGGCCGGGCCUCUUGGCCUGGGCUGCCGAGGGCCUGAAGGCUACGACGGCCGCCUGCGCAGUGAGACGGGUCGGCACCCGCCGGGCGGUGUCCUCUUCCCGUCUCCGCUGGCGCAGCCGUACCCUGGCGCCUGACCCGUGGAUGAGGCGAGCGGGCGGCCGGGUGCUGGAAACGAGUUGGUCAUGCCAGAUCAAGAUGCUAUGAAGAUGGUGGCGAGUGAGGGUCAUGGUGAUGAAAUGCGACAACUUCAGGACUUGGUCUUUGUAACCAGAAAGUUGUCUUCAUCUUCGAUAAUUGGCUACAGAGUUGGGAAAACACCGUGGGAAAGAAGAUGCACACAAAAAGGUCACCAGUUAUUAAAGAAGAAAAUGGUAGCUUUGUAAGCAGAUUUUUUUCUUUGCAAAUGCUGUAAUAUGUAGCUAUCCAUAAGCAAUAAAAGGCUUUGGAAAUAUUUGUCCCUCA
rnacentral:lncRNA from 1 species